rnacentral:rRNA from 1 species
GAUGAACGCUGGCGGUAUGCUUUACACAUGCAAGUCGAACGCAAGUUUUAACUUGAGUGGCGGACGGGUGAGUAACACGUGAGAAUUCACCUUCAGGUAGGGAAUAACUAUUGGAAACAGUAGCUAAUGCCCCAUAUGCUUUUUAAGUGAAAGAAAUUAUUCGCCUGAUGAGAAGCUCGCGGCUGAUUAGCUAGUUGGUAAGAUAAUAGCUUACCAAGGCGACGAUCAGUAACUGGUUUGAGAGAAUGAUCAGUCACACUGGAACUGAGACACGGUCCAGACUCCUACGGGAGACAGCAGUGGGGAAUUUUCCGCAAUGGGCGAAAGCCUGACGGAGCAAUACCGCGUGAGGGAAAAAGGCCUUCGGGUUGUAAACCUCUUUUAUCAAGGAGGAAAUUUUGACGUGUACUUGAUGAAUAAGCAUCGGCUAACUCCGUGCCAGCAGCCGCGGUAAGACGGAGGAUGCAAGUGUUAUCCGGAAUUAUUGGGCGUAAAGCGUCUGUAGGUGGUUUAAAUAAGUCUACGGUUAAAGGUUGAAGCUUAACUUCAAAAAUGCCGUGGAAACUUUAGAC